rnacentral:rRNA from 1 species
CAUAUGGAUUGUGUCAGCAGCCGCGCGGUAAUACGGGAGUGGCAAGCGUUAUCCGGAAUUAUUGGGCGUAAAGCGUCCGCAGGCGGCCCUUCAAGUCUGCUGUUAAAAAGUGGAGCUUAACUCCAUCAUGGCAGUGGAAACUGUUGGGCUUGAGUGUGGUAGGGGCAGAGGGAAUUCCCGGUGUAGCGGUGAAAUGCGUAGAUAUCGGGAAGAACACCAGUGGCGAAGGCGCUCUGCUGGGCCAUCACUGACGCUCAUGGACGAAAGCCAGGGGAGCGAAAGGGAUUAGAUACCCCUGUAGUCCUGGCCGUAAACGAUGAACACUAGGUGUCGGGGGAAUCGACCCCCUCGGUGUCGUAGCCA